rnacentral:rRNA from 1 species
GAUGAACGCUGGCGGCGUGCCUAAUACAUGCAAGUCGAGCGAACAGAUAAGGAGCUUGCUCCUUUGACGUUAGCGGCGGACGGGUGAGUAACACGUGGGUAACCUAUCUAUAAGACUGGAAUAACUCCGGGAAACCGGGGCUAAUGCCGGAUAACAUGUUGAACCGCAUGGUUCUACAGUGAAAGGCGGCUUUGCUGUCACUUAUAGAUGGACCCGCGCCGUAUUAGCUAGUUGGUGAGGUAACGGCUCACCAAGGCAACGAUACGUAGCCGACCUGAGAGGGUGAUCGGCCACACUGGAACUGAGACACGGUCCAGACUCCUACGGGAGGCAGCAGUAGGGAAUCUUCCGCAAUGGGCGAAAGCCUGACGGAGCAACGCCGCGUGAGUGAUGAAGGUCUUCGGAUCGUAAAACACUGUUAUUAGGGAAGAACAAAUGCGUAAGUAACUGUGCGCGUCUUGACGGUACCUGAUCAGAAAGCCACGGCUAACUACGUG